GAAACCUAGUACACAGAGGGGACUCCUAGGCAUUCACGGAGGGGGUCUUGGAACGUAAUCCCCACAGGAAUUUAUCCUAACUGGUUCAUGGAGGCUCUGGCUUCACUGAUGGCAGCUAGGGAUGAGUUAUCUAAGCAGAGAAUUGCCAAAAUUGGCCACAGCUCAAGUUCACCACUGCUGCCACACCAGGGGAAGCUGCUUUUCCAUCUCUGUGUUCUGGAGGAAUCCUCCUACCACCUCUUCUUACUUCUUAGCCCCAGAAAAGCAUCCUCAUGCAAAUAAACCCCUAAGAGGAGCCCUGCAUCCACCAACUCAGAUACUUCAUCAC